rnacentral:rRNA from 1 species
AUCCGGUGUCAGCUUGCGAAAGGCGGCCAGCACCUGGGAAGGCCGCUAGAUUCCCGUCUGUAUUUUCGGUUAGUAGGCUUCUUGAAUUGGCUUUCACCAGAUGGUCCACUACAUCCUCUUGAUAGAUGCAGUCUUCCCGUUGGAUCUGAGCGAGCAUUUAAUUUGCAACAGUAUCCGCGUCCAUCAACUUCUCUCAGGCGCAAGGUCAACACGUACCAAGCUUUCAGUUCGAAAUUCGCCCUGAUCCAGUUUCUUGCCGGCAAACCAUUGACACGUAUAGAGGUUGUUGGAAAGGCGAUAAGCUCUCACCGUCAUAUCGGGACCUCCGGAUUUCAAUUUUACAAUUUCACCAACCUUGAAUUCGAUACCAGUGCUCAUUCCUUUGCCUUCUCGUAUGACGGGGAAAUUUCCCACGCCUCACAGUAUCGAGAUGGCAAAAGGCUUUCAAGCUGGGAGGGACUGACAUUGCGAUCAAGCUUCGUUUUGUGGGUAGUUGUUUAGAUAGACCAAACCGUCUCAGUGAGACCAAAACGUCACAAUGCGAGAUAAUUCACUGCCUUUUCGCGAAUAUGCGGAGUUUUCACUUGGAAGUGCUGCGCGGAGAUAAGCUCAAAGCUGAGCACAUCUAUCGGAGCCCAUAUGCCAGUCAUCGAUUGCGAUUACCUGCCCGCCCCCAUCCAAGACCGCAUUCCCACCAGAACUGGCGCUGCUGAUCGUGCGCAAGGCUGCCUUCAAUGGCCGAGGCGUUCGAACAGCAGGCCCUGGACCAGUUGACCAAGGACGCAAUCUCAGCGAUAUCCGCCGGCGCCGAUCCGCGCCAGGUCAUCCGGCAGAUGCGGUUGUAACUUCCUCCGGUGCAGGGAGUUGAGGUAUUCCACCGGCGGUGGUGGACCAAAUCCUUUUACGACCUUCUCGCGAAACCACCGAGAAUUCCUCGGUAGUUGCCACGCAAACCCGUGUUAUCUCGGCCAGGCAGAUCCCCCAGAUUUGGGGGCUGCAAAUAUUUUGCAUCCCCUCUGUUGCGUUAGUACUAACACUGUGCAAAUAUCCUUUCCACGUUAGUACAAACGAGGUGCCAGAUGACCGAAGACAAAAAGCCAACCCCCAAGACCAGCAAUGAGCGCCAGAGAGAUCUAAAGGCGCGCAGGAUCGCCGAAGGCUACAAGCACACCACCGUGUGGACUCUCCAAAGACGGCAAAGGAAGGGAUCAGGGCAGCACGGGCAGGAAAGCCACUUGAGCCGAUG